AAUAACUAGAAACUCAUUAUUCAAUGUUUUUUACUGUUAGUUUAUUUUAAUGGUGGAUUCCUUACAUGUUAGUGCUCUUGGGAAUGCAAAGAAGUGUUACACCCAAAAUCUCUUUGAUUGGUUUUUGAUAUAUGUUUUCUGCUUAUAAUGCCGUACAUGUUUUGAUAAGUGUAUUCGUGUUUGUUCGAUCAUGUUCCCAAUAUUACAGUUCUUCUGUUUAACUUGUUGGGUUCCACGUGAUUAAAUAUUUUUGUAGCAUGAAUGGAAGUUAGUUUAGCUGGAAGCUGAGCAAUUAACAUGUAUUUUUUUUGAAAUGGACAUCAUGUUCCAUCAUGAUGGAUGAAAUAUUUAACAGAACAAUGAUAAAUUAAAAUUGAUUUGCACUCAUGACUAGGUUUGAUAUCAAAUUUUACAAUUAUUCCUAUUUUCUGUUAUGGUGAUAUGAUAAGUGUUGAUUUUGACAUUCUUGUUCUAUUGAUGCCUACAUUAUUUGUGUUUCUUUAUUGAGUUUUUUUAUUAGGGGAUUUAUGAAAUCUUUUUGUUGCAUUUUGUAACUAAAGAAUGAUGGUUGGUUGAAUAAUCCAUAACCAAAGUUUCUUAGUUUGGUUUUAUCAAACUGGAACCCCAUGCGGUGUUUUUUGAACUGAAGUUUUUAUUGACCAUCCUUGAUUGUCUUUUUUGGUUGGCACUUGGAAGUUUACCAAAACAUUCUGAUGUUGUUGUCCUUUAUAUUAUGAGUUUCCUACUCUUUAGAUAUUAAUGCGUUGUGAUUUUGGCCUUUGAUUCCAUUCAAUGUUAUCUUUAUUUUUAAUGUGUCUAAUCUGGGAAUGAACAAUGUCAGAAAUGGUACGUCAUAUUAGUGUACUGUAGUUUCAGGACUAUACUCUUACUUUUCAAUCUAAAAGAAAGAAAGCAUGCCUCAAUUUCUCGAGUUAUGAUGUCCCUGAAAACUUUUCCAAUGACACUCUACUUCCUGCCGUUAGGAAUUUCUGGUGGUAUGACACAUCAUUGUAAACUUUUCCAGUGACACUCUACGUCAUGUAGUUGGGUCUCAGAGAUAUUGAAGUCAUUAUGACUCUUAAUGAUCAGGGGAACUGGAGUUGGACACAGCCCUCACACUUUCUUUCGAAUGGUGGAUCAUCACAAUCUGCCGUGAUAUUCCAAUAUUCCGCACUCCCUAUGCGUUCAACAUUCUUUAAUGUGAAAAUGUAUUCGCUAUGCGCUCAACUCCCUAUGCGCUCAACAUUCUUUAAUGUGAAAAUGUAUUCACAACAUGGUUGUCUCAAAAAAGCAGUUGUUUCAGCUCUUACCUGCUAUAUCCAUGCAUUACAAUUAAUCAAGGAAUACAAUUAAUCUAUUUAUCUUAGAAUGAUCAUAUUAUUUUCAUUUUAUCCAUUUUAUUAAUAAUUCCUUUAGUGAGUGGCAGUUCUAUUUUUUAAAAGCAUUCAAGCCUGACAAUUAUUUGUUCAAAUUCAAAAGGAACACAACAUUUCUUUGUUGGAUCUUUUAUUCUGUGUUUCAUUUUGUAUAGCCGUAGGAGACUUAGUGUUCUGUUUUUUAAUUCUCCAUUCCUUUGUGGAAUGGAAGUGCUUGAUACAAGGGAAGUUCAUGUUAGUCAUGUUUCCCCACUUGAACUAUCAUUAUCUGAUGUGAAUAUAUGUUCUCUUGCCCGUUUGUUUUCUGGGCUUCUGUUCCCCUUUUUUUUUUUUUGUGGUGUUCUCAUGUUUAUUUCUCCUGAAUUUAUCAUUGAUAAGUGGAAUUUUUUGUGGCACCUGAUUGAGGAUGAGUCUGAUCACUAAUUUGCUAUGAUUCCGGUGGUGUUUCUUGUUAUUUUUUGUGUUUUUACCUCUUUUCAGUUUUCUGGAGUUAUUAUCGCUUCAUAUUCUUUCUCUAAAAGAAAUUGCUCGAGGAUGAUUGUGAUAAUCCCAGCUCAUUAUGAGACCUUCCGAGGUCUGGGAAAAGAUCCCAUCAUGGAGUCUGAGAGCAACUAUACUGUAUACUGCUUUUUCUUCUUUUUUUUUGUGAGUUUGUUCCCAAUGAUGGUCCUAUUAUUAACCAUGCUAAUACUGAAAUGAUGAUGUUUUUUUCGAUGUAACUGAGGGAACGUU